UCAGAAAUAGGCGAUGGGCUCUGAUUGGUUAGCUAGCCCAGUGUGUUGUGAUUGGCUAACAAAGGGAAUGCCUCUAGUGCGCGUCCAAAUGUCCCGCCCCUCACCUCGGCGGCAUGUGCUCCGUAUUUGUGUUGUAAACACUGGC